GACGAACGCUGGCGGCGUGCUUCAUACAUGCAAGUCAAACGAGAAGCUGACUUCGGUCAGUGGAAAGUGGCGGACGGGUGAGUAAUAUGUAGGAAAUCUGCCUUUAGGAGGGGGACAACAGAGGGAAACUUCUGCUAAUACCCCAUAUGAGCGUAGCUGAAAUGCUAUUCUUGAAAACUCCGGUGCCUAAAGAUGAGCCUGCAUCUGAUUAGCUAGUUGGUAGUGUAAUGGACUACCAAGGCGACGAUCAGUAGCUGGUUUGAGAGGAUGAUCAGCCACAAUGGGACUGAGACACGGCCCAUACUCCUACGGGAGGCAGCAGUAGGGAAUUGUGCGCAAUGGGCGAAAGACUGACGCAGCAACGCCGCGUGAACGAUUAAGCCCUUCGGGGUGUAAAGUUCUGUCAGUGGGGACGAAACUUGACGGUACCCACAGAGGAAGCACCGGCUAACUCCGUG
rnacentral:rRNA from 1 species